rnacentral:rRNA from 1 species
GAUGAACGCUAGCGGCAGGCCUAAUACAUGCAAGUCGUACGGGAUUCCCCCUUCGGGGGGAUGAGAGUGGCGGACGGGUGCGUAACGCGUAUGCAACCCACCCCUGUCAGCCGGAUAGCCUCGGGAAACUGGGGGUUCACACGGCAUGUUCCCGGCCGGGGGCAUCCCCGGGCGGGCAAAGCGGCGACGCGGACGGGGACGGGCAUGCGUGCCAUUAGCUUGUUGGCGGGGCGACGGCCCACCAAGGCAACGAUGGCUAGGGGAUCUGAGAGGACGGUCCCCCACACUGGUACUGAGACACGGACCAGACUCCUGCGGGAGGCAGCAGUAAGGGAUAUUGGGCAAUGGGGGGAACCCUGACCCAGCCAUGCCGCGUGAGGGAAUGAGGCCCCAGUGGUCGUGAACCUCUUUUGCGCGGGGACAAGGACGCGGUCGUGAACCGUGUUUGAGGGUACCGCGCGAAUAAGCAUCGGCUAACUCCGUGCCAGCAGCCGCGGUAAUACGGAGGAUGCGAGCGUUAUCCGGAUUCAUUGGGUUUAAAGGGUGCGCAGGCGGCCCGUGCAAGUCGGCGGUGAAAUCCCGGGGCCCAACCCCGGAAGUGCCGUCGAUACUGUCGGGCUGGAAUGCGGUCGAGGCGGGCGGAACGUGGCGUGUAGCGGUGAAAUGCGUAGAUAUGCCACAGAACGCCGAUAGCGGAGGCAGCUCGCCAGGCCUGCAUUGACGCUCGGGCACGAAAGCGUGGGGAUCGAACA